rnacentral:rRNA from 1 species
UACCUGGUUGAUCCUGCCAGUAGUCAUAUGCUUGUCUCAAAGAUUAAGCCAUGCAUGUCUAAGUAUAAGCGACUUGUACUGUGAAACUGCGAAUGGCUCAUUAAAUCAGUUAUGGUUUAUUUGAUGGUACCUACUACUUGGAUAACCGUAGUAAUUCUAGAGCUAAUACAUGCAGGAAGACCCGACUUCGGAAGGGUUGUAUUUAUUAGAUAAGAAACCAAUCCAGCUUGCUGGCUGCGCGCCGAGUCACAAUAACUGCUCGAAUCGCAUGGCUUUACGCCGGCGAUGGUUCAUUCAAAUUUCUGCCCUAUCAGCUUUCGAUGGUAGGAUCGAGGCCUACCAUGGCGUUUACGGGUAACGGAGAAUUAGGGUUCGAUUCCGGAGAGGGAGCCUGAGAGAUGGCUACCACAUCCAAGGAAGGCAGCAGGCGCGUAAAUUGCCCGAAUCCUGACACAGGGAGGUAGUGACAAGAAAUAACAAUACAGGGCUACAUCUAGUCUUGUAAUUGGAAUGAGUACAAUUUACAUCUCUUCACGAGGAUCAAUUGGAGGGCAAGUCUGGUGCCAGCAGCCGCGGUAAUUCCAGCUCCAAUAGC